UACGUAGGGAGCAAGCGUUGUCCGGAAUCAUUGGGCGUAAAGUGCGCGUAGGUGGCUUCGUAAGUCCGUUGUGAAAGUCAAAGGCUCAACCUUUGAAAGCCGAUGGAUACUGCGGAGCUAGAGUACGGAAGAGGCGAGUGGAAUUCCUGGUGUAGCGGUGGAAUGCGCAGAUAUCAGGAGGAACACCAAUAGCGAAGGCAGCUCGCUGGGACGCUACUGACACUGAGGCGCGAAAGCGUGGGGAGCGAACAGG
rnacentral:rRNA from 1 species